UAUCUGAAGAAGCUGAUGGGGUGGAAUGGCAGAAUCACAGCCUGUGGGGGACUGUUUGGCAAGGGAAUUGUACAGGCUGUCUUCCAGCAGCUCAAGCAUGAGAAGCAUUGUUCCAAGACAGCAGAUGGAUGAACCACUAUAAAGGUAGUGGAAUCUCAGGUUGUGGAAUCAGGAAGAGAAUGUAACUUUUGCCCACUGUGACAGAAGCAUAUUUGAAGCAGAAAAAUGAGUCUCAGUAUCUCACAGUUUACUCACAAUGGAACACAAAUUCCAGAAAAUAAG
rnacentral:lncRNA from 1 species